rnacentral:tRNA from 1 species
AAUCUGGUGGUCAGGGGUUCGAGCCCCCUAGAUGGCU